CCUGCUGACCCGAAUAAUUUAUUAUUUCACGAUUUUAUGUACAGCUCUAAGGUAUCGUUCGGUUCGGGGAUAAGUAAAAAGUGGCUAUUUCAGGGAUAGAUAUAAAUUGAGGUAUAAGCGGGAAUUAGAUCAAUUUUGCGUUUGGAUGAAAAUUAGAUUAUUUCUGGGAAUAAAAAAAAUAGCGUUUGGUUAAGUAAGAUGGAAAAAGAAAUAUACCGGAUUUUAUAAAUAAAAAAUAAUGAUAUUAUUCUCUUAUUAUAUUUGAUUUGAAUUUUUAAAUUUUUAAACUUAUAUUUUUAAAUUUUAAAUUUGAAAUUUAAAAUCUCAAAUUUUA
rnacentral:lncRNA from 1 species